UACGUAGGGGGCGAGCGUUGUCCGGAUUUAUUGGGCGUAAAGCGCGUGUAGGCGGCAGUUUAAGUCGGCCGUGAAAUCUCCAGGCUUAACCUGGAGGGGUCGGGCGAGACUGGAUUGCUCGAGGUGGGCAGAGGGCGGUGGAAUUCCGGGUGUAGUGGUGGAAUGCGUAGAGAUCCGGAGGAACACCAGUGGCGAAGGCGGCCGCCUGGGCCUGGCCUGACGCUGAGACGCGAAAGCGUGGGGAGCAAGCCGG
rnacentral:rRNA from 1 species